AUACAGAGGGUGCAAGCGUUAAUCGGAAUUACUGGGCGUAAAGCGUGUGUAGGUGGUUUGCUAAGUCAGGUGUGAAAUCCCUGGGCUCAACCUAGGAAUUGCAUUUGAUACUGGCGGACUAGAGUGCGGUAGAGGAUGGUGGAAUUCCCGGUGUAGCGGUGAAAUGCGUAGAUAUCGGGAGGAACAUCAGUGGCGAAGGCGGCCAUCUGGACUGACACUGACACUGAGACACGAAAGCGUGGGGAGCAAACAGG
rnacentral:rRNA from 1 species